rnacentral:rRNA from 1 species
GACGAACGCUGGCGGCGUGCUUAACACAUGCAAGUCGAACGGAAAGGCCCUGCUUUUGUGGGGUGCUCGAUUGGCGAACGGGUGAGUAACACGUGAGUAACCUGCCCUUGACUUUGGGAUAACUUCAGGAAACUGGGGCUAAUACCGGAUAGGAGCUCCUGCUGCAUGGUGGUGGUUGGAAAGUUUCGGCGGUGGGGGAUGGACUCGCGGCUUAUCAGCUUGUUGGUGGGGUAGUGGCUUACCAAGGCUUUGACGGGUAGCCGGCCUGAGAGGGUGACCGGCCACAUUGGGACUGAGAUACGGCCCAGACUCCUACGGGAGGCAGCAGUGGGGAAUAUUGCACAAUGGGCGGAAGCCUGAUGCAGCAACGCCGCGUGCGGGAUGACGGCCUUCGGGUUGUAAACCGCUUUCGCCUGUGACGAAGCGUGAGUGACGGUAAUGGGUAAAGAAGCAACGGCUAACUACGUG